AAGUUGCAGGGUAUAGACCCGAAACCCGGUGAUCUAGCCAUGGGCAGGUUGAAGGUUGGGUAACACUAAGUGGAGGACCGAACCGACUAAUGUUGAAAAAUUAGCGGAUGACUUGUGGCUGGGGGUGAAAGGCCAAUCAAACCGGGAGAUAGCUGGUUCUCCCCGAAAGCUAUUUAGGUAGCGCCUCGUGAAUUCAUCUCCGGGGGUAGAGCACUGUUUCGGCAAGGGGGUCAUCCCGACUUACCAACCCGAUGCAAACUGCGAAUACCGGAGAAUGUUAUCACGGGAGACACACGGCGGGUGCUAACGUCCGUCGUGAAGAGGGAAACAACCCAGACCGCCAGCUAAGGUCCCAAAGUCAUGGUUAAGUGGGAAACGAUGUGGGAAGGCCCAGACAGCCAGGAUGUUGGCUUAGAAGCAGCCAUCAUUUAAAGAAAGCGUAAUAGCUCACUGGUCGAGUCGGCCUGCGCGGAAGAUGUAACGGGGCUAAACCAUGCACCGAAGCUGCGGCAGCGACGCUUAUGCGUUGUUGGGUAGGGGAGCGUUCUGUAAGCCUGUGAAGGUGUACUGUGAGGUAUGCUGGAGGUAUCAGAAGUGCGAAUGCUGACAUAAGUAACGAUAAAGCGGGUGAAAAGCCCGCUCGCCGGAAGACCAAGGGUUCCUGUCCAACGUUAAUCGGGGCAGGGUGAGUCGACCCCUAAGGCGAGGCCGAAAGGCGUAGUCGAUGGGAAACAGGUUAAUAUUCCUGUACUUGGUGUUACUGCGAAGGGGGGACGGAGAAGGCUAUGUUGGCCGGGCGACGGUUGUCCCGGUUUAAGCGUGUAGGCUGGUUUUCCAGGCAAAUCCGGAAAAUCAAGGCUGAGGCGUGAUGACGAGGCACUACGGUGCUGAAGCAACAAAUGCCCUGCUUCCAGGAAAAGCCUCUAAGCAUCAGGUAACAUCAAAUCGUACCCCAAACCGACACAGGUGGUCAGGUAGAGAAUACCAAGGCGCUUGAGAGAACUCGGGUGAAGGAACUAGGCAAAAUGGUGCCGUAACUUCGGGAGAAGGCACGCUGAUAUGUAGGUGAAGUCCCUCGCGGAUGGAGCUGAAAUCAGUCGAAGAUACCAGCUGGCUGCAACUGUUUAUUAAAAACACAGCACUGUGCAAACACGAAAGUGGACGUAUACGGUGUGACGCCUGCCCGGUGC
rnacentral:rRNA from 1 species